AUUGAACGCUGGCGGCAGGCCUAACACAUGCAAGUCGAACGGUAACAGGAAGCAGCUUGCUGCUUUGCUGACGAGUGGCGGACGGGUGAGUAAUGUCUGGGAAACUGCCUGAUGGAGGGGGAUAACUACUGGAAACGGUAGCUAAUACCGCAUAACGUCGCAAGACCAAAGAGGGGGACCUUCGGGCCUCUUGCCAUCGGAUGUGCCCAGAUGGGAUUAGCUUGUUGGUGGGGUAACGGCUCACCAAGGCGACGAUCCCUAGCUGGUCUGAGAGGAUGACCAGCCACACUGGAACUGAGACACGGUCCAGACUCCUACGGGAGGCAGCAGUGGGGAAUAUUGCACAAUGGGCGCAAGCCUGAUGCAGCCAUGCCGCGUGUAUGAAGAAGGCCUUCGGGUUGUAAAGUACUUUCAGCGGGGAGGAAGGGAGUAAAGUUAAUACCUUUACCCAUUGACGUUACCCGCAGAAGAAGCACCGGCUAACUCCGUG
rnacentral:rRNA from 1 species